rnacentral:rRNA from 1 species
GAUGAACGCUGGCGGCGUGCCUAAUACAUGCAAGUCGAGCGAACGGACGAGAAGCUUGCUUCUCUGAUGUUAGCGGCGGACGGGUGAGUAACACGCGGAUAACCUACCUAUAAGACUGGGAUAACUUCGGGAAACCGGAGCUAAUACCGGAUAAUAUUUUGAACCGCACGGUUCAAAAGUGAAAGACGGUCUUGCUGUCACUUAUAGAUGGAUCCGCGCUGCAUUAGCUAGUUGGUAAGGUAACGGCUUACCAAGGCAACGAUGCAUAGCCGACCUGAGAGGGUGAUCGGCCACACUGGAACUGAGACACGGUCCAGACUCCUACGGGAGGCAGCAGUAGGGAAUCUUCCGCAAUGGGCGAAAGCCUGACGGAGCAACGCCGCGUGAGUGAUGAAGGUCUUCGGAUCGUAAAACUCUGUUAUUAGGGAAGAACAUAUGUGUAAGUAACUGUGCACAUCUUGACGGUACCUAAUCAGAAAGCCACGGCUAACUACGUG